GGUUCUGUAGUGUGGUAGUUGUCACAUGUGCUUUCCCUGCAGAAGGUACUGGGUUCAAGCCCCAGUGGAACCA
rnacentral:tRNA from 1 species